rnacentral:rRNA from 1 species
AACGAACGCUGGCGGCAUGCCUAACACAUGCAAGUCGAACGAGACCUUCGGGUCUAGUGGCGCACGGGUGCGUAACGCGUGGGAACCUGCCCUUAGGUUCGGAAUAACUCCCCGAAAGGGGUGCUAAUACCGGAUAAUGUCUUCGGACCAAAGAUUUAUCGCUUUGGAUGGGCCCGCGUUGUAUUAGCUAGUUGGUAGGGUAAAAGCCUACCAAGGCGACGAUCCAUAGCUGGUCUGAGAGGAUGAUCAGCCACGCUGGGACUGAGACACGGCCCAGACUCCUACGGGAGGCAGCAGUGGGGAAUAUUGGACAAUGGGCGAAAGCCUGAUCCAGCAAUGCCGCGUGAGUGAUGAAGGCCUUAGGGUUGUAAAGCUCUUUUACCCGGGAUGAUAAUGACAGUACCGGGAGAAUAAGCGCCGGCUAACUCCGUG